GACGAACGCUGGCGGCGUGCUUAACACAUGCAAGUCGAACGGUAAGGCCCUUCGGGGUACACGAGUGGCGAACGGGUGAGUAACACGUGGGUGAUCUGCCCUGCACUUCGGGAUAAGCCUGGGAAACUGGGUCUAAUACCGGAUAGGACCACUGCCUGCAUGGGUGGGGGUGGAAAGCUUUUGCGGUGUGGGAUGGGGCCGCGGCCUAUCAGCUUGUUGGUGGGGUGAUGGCCUACCAAGGCGACGACGGGUAGCCGGCCUGAGAGGGUGACCGGCCACACUGGGACUGAGAUACGGCCCAGACUCCUACGGGAGGCAGCAGUGGGGAAUAAUGCACAAUGGGCGCAAGCCUGAUGCAGCGACGCCGCGUGAGGGAUGACGGCCUUCGGGUUGUAAACCUCUUUCAGCACCGACGAAGCGCAAGUGACGGUAGGUGCAGAAGAAGGACCGGCCAACUACGUGCCAGCCGCCGCCGUAA
rnacentral:rRNA from 1 species